UGGCUGUGCUAAUAGUAAUAGAUGACUCUUAGCGACCCUGCGCAUUCUCUAAUUUUCCGUACAUGAAAGUUUAUUAAAUGCAUGCAGUGCUUUAUCCUGAUUUGCAAGAGGAACAACAUGAAAUUCCUAUUUCACAUAAGUGAAGAAAAUCUAUAACACUGAUUGUUAUAGUUGGUGGUCCGGUGAUUCCAGUUUAUUUCUCUAAUUUGAUGUAGGAAAUGGAUUGUAAAUUGCAAGUGAGUUGGGGCUUCUGAUUGGACCUUGUGGUGGUUGGAUCUGCUGACAGAUAGGGAGAAGCAUGAUAUGUUGCUACUGCUGCACCUAUUAUUUGAUUUCUCUCAAUUUGCAAGAGGAACAACAUGAAAUUCCUAUUUCACAUAAGUGAAGAAAAUCUAUAACACUGAUUGUUAUAGUUGGUGGUCCGGUGAUUCCAGUUUAUUUCUCUAAUUUGAUGUAGGAAAUGGAUUGUAAAUUGCAAGUGAGUUGGGGCUUCUGAUUGGACCUUGUGGUGGUUGGAUCUGCUGACAGAUAGGGAGAAGCAUG
rnacentral:lncRNA from 1 species